GACGAACCGUGCGAACGUUAUUCGGAAUCACUGGGCUUAAAGCGCGCGUAGGCGGGGCGGUGCGUCGGACGCUGAAAUCCCCCGGCUCAACCGGGGAACGGGCGCCGAAACGACCAUCCUGGAGGGACGUAGGGGGACCUGGAACUUCCGGUGGAGCGGUGAAAUGCGUAGAUAUCGGGAGGAACACCAGUGGCGAAGGCGAUCAUCUGGGGUUAUUCUGACGCUGAGGAGCGAAAGCCAGGGGAGCAAACGGG
rnacentral:rRNA from 1 species